rnacentral:lncRNA from 1 species
CCUGAUGGGGGUGCCCUCCUCUGUCCUUGAAGAGUGGAAAGCUGAGUCAAGAGCUGGACUUCGUCAGCCACAACGUCCGCACCAAGCUGGAUGAGCUCAAGCGACAGGAGGUAUCAAGGCUUCGGAUGCUGCUCAAGGCCAAGAUGGAUGCAAAGCAGGAGCCUAACUUGCAGGUGGACCACAUGAACCUUCUGAAGCAGUUUGAACACCUGGACCCUCAGAACCAGCACACGUUUGAGGCUCGGGACCUAGAGCUGCUGAUCCAGACGGCCACCCGAGACCUCGCCCAGUAUGACGCUGCACACCAUGAAGAGUUCAAACGCUACGAGAUGCUCAAGGAACAUGAGCGAAGACGUUACCUGGAGUCUCUGGGAGAGGAGCAGCGGAAGGAGGCUGAGAGGAAGCUACAAGAGCAGCAGCGCAGACACCGGGAACACCCCAAAGUCAAUGUUCCUGUAAGGACCCCCGUGUAUGUUUUACAGAAAAAAUGAAUGCAGAUACAGAACUAGAACUCCCAAGAGUCCUUG